GGGGUCGUCGUCCAACGGCAGGACACCGCUCUGGCAGAGCGGCGAUCACGGUUCAAAUCCGUGCGAUUCCACCA
rnacentral:tRNA from 1 species